UGGCGUAACAAAGGGAAGCGAACCUGUGAGGGGGAGCAAAUCCCAAAAAUAACGUCCCAGUUCGGACUGUAGUCUGCAACCCGACUACACGAAGCUGGAAUCGCUAGUAAUCGCGAAUCAGAAUGUCGCGGUGAAUACGUUCCCGGGUCUUGUACACACCGCCCGUCACACCAUGGGAGUCGGGAAUGCCCGAAGUCAGUGACCCAACCAAAUGGAGGGAGCUGCCGAAGGCAGGUCUGAUAACUGGGGUGAAGUCGUAACAAGGUAUC
rnacentral:rRNA from 1 species